rnacentral:rRNA from 1 species
CCUACGGGUGACAGCAGUGGGGAAUAGUGGACAAUGGGGGGAACCCUGAUCCAGCGACGCCGCGUGAGUGAAGAAGGAUUUCGGUAGGUAAAGCUCUAUCAGCAGGGAAGAAAAUGACGGUACCUGACUAAGAAGCCCCGGCGAACGACGUGCCAGCAGCCGCGGUAAUACGUAGGGGGCAAGCGUUAUCCGGAUUUACUGGGGGUAAAGGGAGCGUAGACGGUGCAGCAAGUCUGAUGUGAAAGGUCGGGGCCCCACCCCGGGACUGCAUUGGAAACGGUUGAACUGGAGUACAGGAGAGGUAAGCGUCAUUCCUCGUGUAGCUGUGCACUGCGUAGAUCUUAGGCGGCACCCCAGUGGCGAAGGCGGCUUACUGGACUGUACCUGCCGUUGCGGCUCG